GUGCCUUUUCACGUUGGUGGCUGCUCAUGCUCAGAGCUUUUCAACACGGCUAACGUUGUCACUGGCGUUCGGAAUUUCCCGAGUUAUAGUGGGAAGGUCGAUUAUGUUUGAACUCUGGAGGACAAACAAUAUUAUGUGUUAGCAUACCUGCAGAGGCCCUGGCAUCCGUCCAAGCGAGAGGACUCCUGCUUUGAAAGCAAAAUCAAAUUUGUCUCUGCCAAUGUCUGCAGCGCCCGUCAGUCCUACAACAUAUGCUGUCGAGAAGCAAGAACCAGCCAAAAUGGAUGACUCUUACAUGGCUUCGUGGAGGACAUGAAAGCCUCUCGUUCACUUGAUGGAGAACAGAGUUCAGGGUUGGCCAAGUGCAAGAGAAAGGAGGCUCAUAAUUUCAACUUUUGUUCGCUGCUCGGUUCGUUCUUCGAGCCCUGCUUCUCCCUUCUCCCUCUCGCUCGAUUUACCGUCGAAUUUAUAUAGUUGGCUACUAUAUUGCCUGAUACUGUGAAAAGUUAUGAGAAAAAUGUGUUUAUAAUGUUUAGGUGUAUGAUUGCUGCACCAACAGUGUACAAAAGUUGCAUUCAAAUUCUAUUUGUUUUCUACGGA